rnacentral:rRNA from 1 species
GUCCAUGCCGUAACGAUGUCUACUAGCCGUUGGUCUUGAGACUUAGUGGCGCAGCUAACGCGAUAAGUAGACCGCCUGGGAGUACGGUCGCAAGACUAAACUCAAAUGAAUUGACGGGCCGCACAAGCGGUGGAGCAUGUGGUUAAUUCGAUGCAACGCGAAGAACCUUACCUGGUCUUGACAUAGUAAGAACUUUCCAGAGAUGGAUUGGUGCCUUCGGGAGCUUACAUACAGGUGCUGCAUGGCUGUCGU